CAGCCAGCCUCCCCUCCCCCCCACCUAUCCCCCAGCACCUCACCCAACCCAGCCCUGACGGAGGGGAGGGAGGAGAGAGAGAGAGGGGUGCUCCUGGGGAGGAGGGAGAAAGGAGGGGGUGCUCCGUGGGGCAGGGGGGAGAAGAAUGGAUGUUAUGGGAGACAACAAAGGAUACUGGUUCCAGAGCCACAGAGCCUGCCUCACCUGACCUCAGCCGGGGGGAAAGAGUCACACUCACAGGCUGCAGCUGACUGAACUGCAGACAGAAGACUCCCAGAAGUGCACAGGUGCAGUACACCAUAAACAAAAUGCUAGAAGAUGCUACAGCAAAUGCUGAUAGAGCUUCUGAUAGAUCUUUAAAGAGUCCUAAGUGGGGUCUCGACCAGUGAGAACCAGUAGAAAACAUCUUCCAACACAGCCACAGUGAUGCAGAAGAAAAUUUUAAUUUUUGCCAGUUAGUAUAAUAAUAGGACCUCAAUCUAUAGGAAAAGUUAGUGGCAGAUUAAAGAAUAUUUCUUUAAUCACAAAUUCUGAUUGCCAGGAGCAUCAUUUCUAAGAAUUUUUGUGAGUUAUUCUGAAGCCUUACACAGCCUGUACAGAGCAGAGUAAUGAGUUAGAAAUCCUGGGAGUUUUGCCUGAGCGAAGACUGCGAGAUCAGGCUCUAUAUUACAAAUUCAAAUAAAAUCAAGAAAUAGAGAAACCUGAUCAAAUUGUUCAGUGAGGACAUUACUGACUAUUGACUAUUUGUUCUUACUAAGGACUGGAUCUGCCACAAUGAAUUCUCUCCAUCCUGACUGGGAUCUCUUGGACAAACAAACAAAGAACCACCACCAUCUUAUUGGUGCUAAAAGAGAAGCCUCCUCAACUCACCGUGAGAAAAACUUGAGUUUCCAGGUGAUGGCAGCCCUAACUUGCCAAGUACCCAGCACCUACACAACAAUAUUGCAAUGUCACUAUGAAGAAAAAUAAAACCUUCUUUGUUCCUAUUA